AAUGAGAAAAUUUGAUAAAAAAUGCAAUUUCAAUUUUUGUGUCCCAAUAUAAUCACAACUUGAAAGUUUUUUUCUUUCUUUUUUUCGAAAUAAUUUUGAGCCCAUAACUAGAAAUUUAAACAGAACCAUGUGUUCAACAGGGCCAAAUCAAAAUGUUUAGAACUUACAUUCAGAUGCUCACUUGUCAAAAGUGAUUGUCAAUUUUUCAAUCAUAAGCUUGCAUCACCGAGGGCAUUCGAUUGAUUUCCGCAAAUUUCAAGAUGAAAAAGCAAUACAAAAUGAGCAAAUAAAAAGGGAAAUGAUACUUACAAUGGGUGCCGACCUUUGUCUCAUGCUUUUUUUUUCAAAAUUACAUAGACAUGCACAUGGAAUGUGGUUCGAUUUCUACUCUAUACGGCCCAAAAUAGAGCCAUGGGAUCACCAGACUGAACCAACAAGGUCGUGGCUGGGUUGGGUUACCCAUGACUCCGGCUUCGUCAAAGAACCGACCCAUGUCGCACGGUUGCAAACCGGGGUGGGUACCUUUGACGUGAAGAAAGAAAUUUCGGGGUUAAGGUGGGCGACUCGUACUACGCGAUUGUAGUCGGAGUGGUAUCCACCUCAACACCAUCCUAAGUGAUCCUAUGCGGCCCAGGUCCGGCGGCAGGUUGUGUGUGCCAUGGUGUAGUGCAAUGCAGAGAAUACAUGCACAACAAUUUAUAGGCAAACAACACUCCGUACAUAAAAAUAAACCAUACAUUCCUACAUUUCCCUGCAAGACAAAGGUGAGCAAACACUUCCCCUUAUACCUCCCAUUCUGUAAGAACAUUUAACAACUACAAUGUUAGGGGCGUACCUGGAAUCCUCGCUGCCAAACAAAAAUACUUUUGAACAAGAUUAAUUUUGGCCUAAGUCCUCUAAGGUUCAAAACCAAGUCCCCAGCGGAGUCGCCAAGCUGUCGCGACCUACCCUCGGGGGGAGGGAACAGGUUUAGGGGUAUUGCCUAAAAGACGGGCCUAAGGCCCAUGAUUAGGCGCGAGCUCUCCCAAGCCCAUACCCCGCGUGACGUUGGGAUAUU
rnacentral:lncRNA from 1 species